rnacentral:rRNA from 2 species
UACGGGGGGAGCAAGCGUUGUUCGGAUUUACUGGGCGUAAAGGGCGCGUAGGCGGCCACAACAAGUCACUUGUGAAAUCUCCGGGCUUAACUCGGAACGGUCAAGUGAUACUGUUGGGCUAGAGUGCGGAAGGGGCAACUGGAAUUCUCGGUGUAGCGGUGAAAUGCGUAGAUAUCGAGAGGAACACCUGCGGCGAAGGCGGGUUGCUGGGCCGACACUGACGCUGAGGCGCGAAAGCUAGGGGAGCGAACGGG